AUGUGUGAAGUGCAGCUGGAGCACGCAGCGUUUACUCACGCCCAGAGUCUUGAUCAUGAUGCUGGCAUCAUAAAGAAGGUUGACAUUUGUUUUGCUGUAAGAAAACUCGAGAUACAUAUGGUGAUAUGUCAUUUAUGUAGGGGCCAGUCUGGAACACAGCUUUGGUCUAAAAAGUUGGACUCUUUCCCACUAAAAUGA
rnacentral:lncRNA from 1 species